rnacentral:rRNA from 1 species
AACGAACGCUGGCGGCAUGCCUAACACAUGCAAGUCGAACGAGACCUUCGGGCCUAGUGGCGCACGGGUGCGUAACGCGUGGGAACCUGCCCGUAGGUUCGGAAUAACUCCCCGAAAGGGGUGCUAAUACCGGAUAAUGUCUUCGGACCAAAGAUCUAUCGCCUUUGGAUGGGCCCGCGUUGGAUUAGCUAGUUGGUAGGGUAAAAGCCUGCCAAGGCGACGAUCCAUAGCUGGUCUGAGAGGAUGACCAGCCACACUGGGACUGAGACACGGCCCAGACUGCGACGGGAGGCAGCAGUGGGGAAUAUUGGACAAUGGGCGAAAGCCUGAUCCAGCAAUGCCGGGUGAGUGAUGAAGGCGUUAGGGUUGUAAAGCUCUUUUACACGGGAUGAUAAUGACAGUACCGGGAGAAUAAGCUCCGGCUAACUCCGUG